UGGUGGGGUAAUGGCCUACCAAGGCGUCGACGGGUAGCCGGCCUGAGAGGGUGUACGGCCACAUUGGGACUGAGAUACGGCCCAGACUCCUACGGGAGGCAGCAGUGGGGAAUAUUGCACAAUGGGCGCAAGCCUGAUGCAGCGACGCCGCGUGGGGGAUGACGGCCUUCGGGUUGUAAACUCCUUUCGCCAAGGACGAAUUUUUGACGGUACUUGGAGAAGAAGCACCGGCUAACUACGUGCCAGCAGCCGCGGUAAUACGUAGGGUGCGAGCGUUGUCCGGAAUUACUGGGCGUAAAGAGCUCGUAGGUGGUUUGUCGCGUCGUUUGUGGAAUACCGCAGCUUAACUGUGGGGUUGCAGGCGAUACGGGCAUAACUUGAGUGCUGUAGGGGAGACUGGAAUUCCUGGUGUAGCGGUGAAAUGCGCAGAUAUCAGGAGGAACACCGAUGGCGAAGGCAGGUCUCUGGGCAGUAACUGACGCUGAGGAGCGAAAGCAUGGGGAGCGAACAGGAUUAGAUACCCUGGUAGUCCAUGCCGUAAACGGUGGGCGCUAGGUGUGAGUCCCUUCCACGGGGUUCGUGCCGUAGCUAACGCAUUAAGCGCCCCGCCUGGGGAGUACGGCCGCAAGGCUAAAACUCAAAGGAAUUGACGGGGGCCCGCACAAGCGGCGGAGCAUGUGGAUUAAUUCGAUGCAACGCGAAGAACCUUACCUGGGCUUGACAUACACCACAUCGGGCUAGAAAUAGUCUUUCCCUUGUGGUUGGAGUACAGGUGGUGCAUGGUUGUCGUCAGCUCGUGUCGUGAGAUGUUGGGUUAAGUCCCGCAACAAGCGCAACCCUUGUCUUAUGUUGCCAGCACAUAAUGCUGGGGACUCAUGAAAGACUGCCGGGGUUAACUCGGAGGAAGGUGGGGAUG
rnacentral:rRNA from 1 species